GGCGGGAGGGAGGGAGCGAGGGAGGGAGGCAGGCAGGCAGGCAGGGGAGGAAGGACAGGGAGAGUGCGUGUGUGCGAGUGUGCGAGGGGGGAGAGGCAGGGAAAACUGCGGGGAGCGAGAAGAAAAGUGCGGUAGAAGCCCAGACCCGGGUUGGUUCGCGCUAGAUUGUUUUAGCAGCAAAAUACCUUCCGAUUAAUCGCGAUGUUUAGCGCCUGAUUUAUGUACUGAAUUAUUUAUUUAAAUCUCCAGCUAUCGCUGUUGCCGCGAAUGGUAUGCGAGUCCGAGGGCACCGAGAGCUACAGUGUGUGUGUGUGUGGGGGGGGGGGGGGUGGUGGUGGUGCAAAGUUGCUCUUCCCCGGGAAGGCAGCCUGCUCUAGCCAAGCGCCGUGUGCCCGCCAGCAUGUUGUGUUGCGAGCGUGGUUUCUUUCCUGUGUACAUUCAUUGUGCUUUUUUAAAAAUUAUUUUUUCAGGGCACGAAGAGAACGCCUCAUUCAAACCGUAUUUGGCACCGCUCUUCAUUAAGUGAUCGCUGCUAUCAAGCACGCUGUGGAUGUCUUGGGGGGGAGGCGGGGGGAGAGGGGGGAAAUCCCUUUUAGUUGUGCGAUGAGGCUGCCGGUCUUUGAAAAGGGCUUCAAAACAAAGUCAUGCUCAGCCUUUUGUAGGAUAGAUCCAGAUGUUAUGUAGAUUUGUGUUUGCAUGUUCAUUUUGAGCGGACCCGUCGGUGUGCGAAGCGUUUGCGUGUGUAUCGCUGUGUAUCUGCGUCGCGCUGGCGGAGUGCGUGCUGCAGCAUUAGCUCGGUAAUGCCUUCUAAUGGCAGCGCUAAUUGCAGGAGGGGUAUUUAGCAAAUUAAGUGAGAUGCUGCACCCCCACCCUGGAGCACCACAUGAACUUUUCCAAACACACACACACACACACACACACACACACACACACACACACAUGUUAAUUUUGGUGUGUUUCUCUCGCCCAAUCGCUUGGCUGGAGCUGGAGCAUGCCUUACCUCAGAGCAGUCAAUUACCAAAGCUACCCGGGAUCAUCAAUCAUGGGGGAUGCUUGAAGUUUAGGGGAGGAGCGAUGGUCAAACUAUCGAUUGCUGCAGUUUUGUCCUCCCCAACCCCCCACCCUCAUUCACGCUCCCCUGCACAUAAAAUCUAAAACAGACUAUCCCGUUAAUAGUGGGAUUUAUCAAUGAUUAUGUACUCAGUUGUGAAUGUGCCUCAUACAUAGAUGGCUUUUAAACGUACACCGCAGAAAAAUGUCUUUGAUUCAGUUAGGGUUUGUUUUGUUUUGUUUUGUUUUCAUGAUAAUGGUGAUGGUUUUAGGAUUUUUUUUUUGGCGGCCGGGGGGUGGGGGUGGGGGGCCUUUAAGAAAAUGACUCAAAGGGUAGUUAUAGAAAUUUGGCCUGAUUUUAAUAGGCGUAGGGAAUGAGCUCCAGAGGUCAAUAAACCCCUCCAAAAUGAUGAAUGAUUGAGUACCUGUGAUGAUGAUAGUGAUUACCGGAGCAAUUAAACAGUUUGAUUAAAUGAGCCAUCAUAACAAUGAUGUCUGCGGGAAAUCAGCCCUCACAUAUAAAGAAAGAUAGUGUGGAGGGCUGACAAACGCCAGUGGGCAUUCCUGCGUGUUCCGAUAGCGCCGAGCCCUGCAGAGCAGCCUGUAUUUACAAAUAUGUGGGCAAUGUGGAGAAAAGUCACUCUCCCACUUUUAGCCAGAGUUGCACCCUGCUUAAAAACCGCCAGAAGCCGGAGAGCAAACCCGCUUUUUUUCCCUAGAGGAUCUCCUCCAAGCUUAAAGCUAGUCCUAAGAGCAACCGAAUUGCUGUGACUGACUUUCACGGGACUGUAAAGAAAGAUCAGCCGAAAAGUCCAAAGAGGAAUGAGGUGUCCGGUAUGGAAGUGCAUCUCAGUCAACAGCCAGCUCCUUUUGCCGAGGCUGGAAAUGGUUUUAACAGGCGGUAAAAUUUCAUCUUGUGGUGUCAAAUUGGGGUCAGUUUGGGGUUAGCGCUCUCAGUGUCCGAGAAGGAGCUGUCCAGCUGUGUGGGGAUUCAUUAAGGGCAAAAGAUCCGUUUCAAGAAAAACAAUACAAAGACAAUCAGAGGGCUAAAGAUCCUCUCCAAAUCGCAUUUUACAAGUGCACCAGAACAAAUAUGGACGCUGAAACCUAUUCCCUUCAAACUCCCAAAUCGGCUUCCUAGCGCUUGGAGGGAGUGAGAGAGAAAAUCCUCUAAAACUUAAGAGUCUGUUUUCAAUCAGCCUUUCCGAAGUGUGGCAUCUUAGUCCUUUGCUGGCUCUGAGACGUGCCUCGCUCGCUCGCUCGCUCGCUCUCUCUCUCUUUCCCCAGCCUUGCAAAAGCGGAUGGCACAACAGGAGAUGGUUUCCUCAGUGUGUGGCAAGUGUUUCUUCAAGAAAUUCAUCAGCCCUUCUACAAUUACUUCGAGCUCUGAGGGAAGAGAGCUGCCAUCACUUUCUCACAUCUCAAGGUGUUGCAUGGAGGAGAGAAGAAAAGGCUGGAGCAUUUAAUUAUAAUGGGAGUGGGGGGAACGGAGGCUGAAGAAAGCCCUCCCAAGGCUGUACCUGGAAAAGAAAACCUGCUAGGGUAUAUUUGGGAGACGUGUGUGCCAUUUAGAGAUGGGUAAAAGCACCCCAUCUUCCGCAAUAAUUAGUCUGAACAAUAAACAUAAUUGGAAUAAAAUCAGUUGGAAAUUCCUGCGUUUUUAAUUACGUUUCAUUUUGUGGUAAGCCGUAAAAUUAUGAAUGCCUCUCAAUUAAACACUAUCCACUUGUAAAGCAUUUAACAACAAUUAUUCCUUAAUCAGUUGGAAUGUUAGCCACAAAUGAUGCUGUUAAACAUCAAAGGGACGCCUCAGACGUUACCUUUUAGUCGUAAGUAAGAGGAUUAAUUUCUAUAAUUAGAGGGGAUAAAUAUGUGCAUAAAUACAUCUAAUUUUUUCACCCGUUCUCAUCCUACCCGGGAGAGGCGAGGAUCUCUGGCCCUGCCCGCACCUCUGGUUCUCCCCCGGCUUCGAGGAGGGACCGCCGCGGGCAGAGGGGUGAGCGCACCCCCCAGGGAGGCCCGAUCCCGCGCGGAGCUCCGCGCCUCUCCGCGGGGCCUGGGACCCCCUCCCGCGGCCACGCCGGCGCUCAGGAGCGGCCCCCCCAUGGCCACAGGACUCCAGGGUAAUUUGCAGCCCUCUUUGGGUUUUAUUUACUCUUUUUUUUUAAUGGCACCUGGGGUCUACCUGGUGUCUUUAUUCCCUCGGGGACAAUUUACUGCCCCCAAAUGAAGCUCAAGAUUUGAGCUGAAUGUCGCAAAUAAAAUUAGCAUGACCUUGAUUAUACUCUGUAUGAAUAUCUCAUUUACCUAAUGACUUUAUGUCACGUACGCAGAGGGUCAAUUUCCUUUUAACCUUUCCCAUUGCUGCAGUAAGCAUUCUUUUAUAAUCAAUGGCUGUUUGAAUAAUCAAUUCACGUUUUAUGAUCCCUGACAAACUCAAUAUACGUGUGCCUUGUUUCAGCAAAGCAGCCGGCCCCUCUCCGCGGCGCCUUCGCGUCCGGAGAGUUUGCGGCGGGGCUGCCCGGCUCCCCGGGGAGCCGCCCCGGGCCGCGCACGGCAGCCGCGGCGCGGCGCGCGGGGCUGCGCGGGGCGCUGCGGGGCUGCGCGCCGCCGCCGGCUGCCCACGCGGCCCCGCCGCGACGCCGCGCCUGCCCGCCCGGGCGCACCCGCGCACGCUGCGCGCACCUGGGGCUCGCACGGGCGUGCGGCCGCCCCUGGAACCGCACCAGCUCUGGACUGGCAGUUUCGCAUGUUUUUCCAGCCGUUCGGACUACAGCGUGUGUCUCUUCCUCCCCGCCCCCGGCUCCCUCCUGGCAGUGUGCACGGGUCCAUGGUUCUUUGGUAUGUUGUUAUUCCCCGAAAGGCUGAGCAGGAUGAUUCACAAUAACACUGCAGAGGAUGGGAGAGACCCACAGGAGAAAAUGGUCCCCAAGGGUUGGACGAAGAGGAAGCAGAGGGGCGACAUGCAGGCUCAACAAGUUCUAGGAUGUCACUGUGUUCUCCAUGUUAGACUAAAAGUAUCUAGGUAUUUCUAUUCAUUGUGAGUUAAAUGGUAUAUUCUCCCUGGCGGCAGUGUUAAAGGGCUGAGACUGCUCUUAAUUCCAAACAGCAAAUUCUAUGUCUAAAGUGUUUGUCUAACCAUCUUAUUGCAUUAACACACUUCCACUCACCAAGUUUGUUCCCAACACAGUUAGCCAGUAAACGCAAAGGGCAAAACUCAUCUGUGCUGUAUCACCACUGUCUUUAAUGCUAUUACACUGGAAAGGAAAUUGACUUACAGCAUGUGCCUACACAGAAAAAACAGGUCCAGAAGAAGAGACACUGAGAUAUUACCAUUUCUGACCCUCUCUCAUGAGAAGGCCUGCCAGUCAGUCUAUAGGCUUCACCUACUGGGGAACAAAUUGUCAAAGGAAAUUGUGUGCAAAGCUGGGAGUCUCUGCAGUCAACUCGUUUUCUAUGUUGAUAGUCUUCAGUAUUCUCAGUCCCAAAUGUGUGCCAAAGUCCCACUGAUUCAAAGAGAUGUUUGUCAGGAUGAGGAGCAUGGGACAAGGUUCCUUCCAGAUAUCUCUGCAGGAUGCUGAGUCUCCCUGUGCAGAGUACUGAGUCAGUUCCUACUAGUGGCAAGUGUGGAAACUCGCCAUCCUUGCAGGAAGCCUCAGCUCCAGAAGAGAUCGGUUCCUUAACUCAUACUUUGAUGAUUCACAACUAUGGCUUUUGUUUGACAUUUUUUGAGCAUUUCUCAUGUUGCAAUUGUACUUUAUGCUUUUUCAAAGUGUUUUCCAGAUCUAUAGAGAUGAACAGGCUUUUCUAUGAUGAAACACAAUCUUGCAAUAAUGUACUAGUGUAUUUUGUCUAAAAAGUACAUGGUAAAUUUAAAAAUCUCCUCUUACUACUUCAUAUGUGAUUAAAAACCAUCCCUAAUAGUUCUAUUGAUCAGAGAGUGCUAACAGAAUCUUCUCUUUGAAGUAGAUAAAUAUAAGCAUUGAAAAAAAAAUAGAAGUGUUUGUCCUGUACUCUUACCUUGAGGCCAUAUUAUACAUAUACAAUAAGACAUGUCUAGGCAUGUGUCAUACUGGAUAAUACUAUUUCUUGGGUGUUUGAGGGACACAGCUUUACCUUGGACUUCACAACAGCUGAGACACGCCAUUUAACACCAGGAUCUUGGCAUUACUGAACAAAAACUACAAAGCUGUUUAUACUUACUAACCUAUAUAUGAGCGUUUUUUUUAAUUGCUUCAUCUUAAAUACCCAAGUCAUUUUAUUCCCAUUAUUCAUGUGCAAAGUUAAAAAGAAACAUUUGAAAUAUUUUUCUCUUUUAUAGAAGAGCUGAUAAAAACUAUUAACCUGAAAUGAACUCUUGCAUGAAUGCAGAUCUAUUUUCUGGGCUCAGAUCUCUUAUUCCCAGUUGGGAACCCGACAUUAGAUCAGGGCACUACAAUCAAUCCUUAGUGGGAAAGUGUUCUUUACUUGGAAAUAUUCACCAAGAGCAGCAUAGGCAAACAGCUUUCAGUUUAAGUCAUUCACAGUAUGUUCAUUUGGGCUUUUCAUUUCAUCAUUCUUGAUGUGUCACUAGUCACCUAUCACACUAUCUCUAUUCCCUGAUAGGUUGGUUGAUAUUAUUCAAACAAGAGACUAAAUGGAUAAUAAAAGUGCAUAACAAAUAUUUCUAUGUACUGUUUUCGUUUUUUACAGUUACUCAUACCAAGCCUGAUUCUGCUUCCAUUUCAUUUAAUAAGAGCAGGGUUUGGUCCACAAGGAAAAUCUAUUCACCUAAUACUUGUUCAAAACAAAAUCCUGUUUGCUUUAAUGUUCACUUAUAUGGUCAGAAACAUGAGCAAAACAAAAGCCAUCUGAAACCCGGAUGGCUGCUCUGUAAAUAGAGUUUGCAGUACGAACCCGGCAACAUAAACGAUUUUGCCACUGUGGGUUCAUUUCAGCUUCUAAACACUAUUGAGGAUAAUCAAUCGCCUUUCUUCCCCUCCCCCUGCUUAACUUCAGAUCACUUCCUCUUACAAACGGCUUUUGGUAUUGAAGCAAGAUUGUAUUGUGUGAUGCAAAAGCAAAUUUCUUUGUUCUGUUGUUUCCAGACUUCAUCCAUUAAAGAAGGUCCUGUCUGCA